GGAUAAGGAGCAGAAAGCACCUCUUGGAGCUGCACCGCCGAGCCACGCACUAGCACAGGGUCAGCAAUCUGCAGGGUAGCAUGAGUCGCAUGCAGGAUUUAAACUGGGACGUGUCCACCAUACACCAGGGUUAGAGCUUCCUCUGGUCAUCAGAGAGCUGACAGCAGCCCUCUGGGUCAUGAGAGACCACAGCAUGAGCACCACAGUCUCUUCUGAUGGGGGACCGUACUGCCGCCUGUCCUGUUGCAGCGCUCCAGCGUCACCCAGGGCAGCUGGGAAAAGGGACAGAAGAGGUUAUCCAGAUAUGGAGGGGGAUUGAGAUAAGCCUAGGCCAGAGCAUGGUGCAGUCUGGCUCCCAUCUCACUGGGCUUCAGUCGGAGGAGCCACCACAGCCAAUGCCCAUCCAUCUUUUGACACCUUUGCUAAUGAAACCAAAAUAA